rnacentral:rRNA from 1 species
GGAUGAACGCUGGCGGCGUGCCUAAUACAUGCAAGUCGAGCGAACAGACGAGGAGCUUGCUCCUCUGACGUUCGCGGCGGACGGGUGAGUAACACGUGGAUAACCUACCUAUAAGACUGGGAUAACUUCGGGAAACCGGAGCUAAUACCGGAUAAUAUAUUGAACCGCAUGGUUCAAUAGUGAAAGACGGUUUUGCUGUCACUUAUAGAUGGAUCCGCGCCGCAUUAGCUAGUUGGUAAGGUAACGGCUUACCAAGGCAACGAUGCGUAGCCGACCUGAGAGGGUGAUCGGCCACACUGGAACUGAGACACGGUCCAGACUCCUACGGGAGGCAGCAGUAGGGAAUCUUCCGCAAUGGGCGAAAGCCUGACGGAGCAACGCCGCGUGAGUGAUGAAGGUCUUCGGAUCGUAAAACUCUGUUAUUAGGGAAGAACAAAUGUGUAAGUAACUAUGCACGUCUUGACGGUACCUAGUCAGAAAGCCACGGCUAACUACGUG